rnacentral:rRNA from 1 species
GAUGAACGCUGGCGGCGUGCCUAAUACAUGCAAGUCGAACGAACGGACCAUAAUCUUGCUUCUUUGUUGUUAGCGGCGGACGGGCGAGUAACACGUGUAUAACCUACCUAUAAUUCUGGUAUAACUUCGUUAAACCGGAUCUCAUACCGGAUAAUAUUCUGCACCGCAUGGUUCAAAAGUGAAAUACGGCCUUGCUGUCUCUUAUAGAGGGUUCCGCGCUGCUUUAGCUAGUUGGUAAGGUAACGGCUUACCAAGGCUACGAUGCAUAGCCGACCUGAGAGCGGGAUUGGCCACACGGGAAGGGAGCCACGGUCCAGAGGCCUAAGGGAGGCAGCAGAAGGGCAUCUGAGGCAAUGGGGGAGAGCAUGGCGCAGCAAGGAGGCGUGUGUGAUGAAGGUACUCGGAGCGUGAAACUGUGUUAUUAGGGAAGAACAGAUGUGUAAGUAGCUGAGAACAUAUUGACGGUAACGAGUAAGAAAGCAACGGCUAACUACGUG